GUGACAACAACCCUGCCACCCUGCAGCCACCCGGACUCACCUGUGAGAGCCACCAGGUGUGGCAGGCAGAGACGGUUGGCGAGGAUGAUGAGCUUCAUGUCAUCCAGGUCGGGGCUGGAGCUGAACUGCCCCGUGUACAGCUGUGCCACCCUCCCGGGGAGCUCUCCUCACCUCGUUGGUGGAGCUCUCCACGAAGGGGCCGCCGAACAUCGCGGCCAUCCAGUCGCAGCUGGAGAUGAGCAGGGGCUUGUGGGCACUGAUAGCACCGUCAUCCAGCACGAAGGUGACAUCUGGGGACAAGCAGAGGGUCACAGGAGUUUGGUUAUCGGGUCAAAAGGAUAAGUAAUAAAGGUGUUCAGCUUUAAAAGACCUUGCAACCGGCUCGAUUCAGCUCCAUUUUGCUCACUCUUAGCUGGUAGCUGCAAGGGUUGCAGAACUCUCUGUACUUUAGAUAAGAUUUAAUAAACAACCGAGCCUGAACACGGGAAAA